rnacentral:rRNA from 1 species
UGCGUAGGCGGAAGAUUAAGUCAGUAGUGAAAUCCUGCAGCUCAACUGUAGAACUGUUAUUGAUACUGAUCUUCUUGAAUACAGUUGAGGUAGGCGGAAUAUGUAAUGUAGCGGUGAAAUGCUUAGAUAUUACAUAGAACACCGAUUGCGAAGGCAGCUUACUAAACUGUGAUUGACGCUGAGGCACGAAAGCGUGGGGAGCGAACAGGAUUAGAUACCCUGGUAGUCC